rnacentral:rRNA from 1 species
AACGAACGCUGGCGGCAGGCCUAACACAUGCAAGUCGAACGGGAUCUUCGGAUCUAGUGGCGGACGGGUGAGUAACGCGUGGGAACGUGCCCUUUGGUUCGGAAUAGCCCUGGGAAACUGGGAGUAAUACCGGAUGAGCCCUUCGGGGGAAAGAUUUAUCGCCAAAGGAUCGGCCCGCGUUGGAUUAGGUAGUUGGUGGGGUAAUGGCCUACCAAGCCGACGAUCCAUAGCUGGUUUGAGAGGAUGAUCAGCCACACUGGGACUGAGACACGGCCCAGACUCCUACGGGAGGCAGCAGUGGGGAAUAUUGCGCAAUGGGCGAAAGCCUGACGCAGCGACGCCGCGUGGGGGAUGACGGCCUUCGGGUUGUAAACCACUGGCGCGAGGGACGAAGAUCUGACGGUACCUCGAAAGGAAGCACCGGCUAACUCCGUGCCAGCAGCCGCCGUAACAC